rnacentral:lncRNA from 1 species
CUCCUCAACUUGCAUAUACUCUGGUAUAUGCUCCAAGGGGUCCAAAACUACCUAUUAACCCCAACAAAACAGCAACUAUAACACAUAAUCAUGCUUACCUCAUUAAAGCAUCAAAACUAAGCUUUCAAACCUAACCAUGCAACUCUACCCUUAACCAUUUGAAAAGCUGUUGAAACUCAUUAAAACAAACGUAAGGACUUCCCUUACCUCUUGAAAACAGAAGAGGAACAACCAACUCAGCAACUCCUCUUCAACUAUUACCAAACCCUCACUUUUCUCUCUUUUUUCUCCAAAACGUUUAAACCCUUUGCAAAUGACCAAACCUUCUGCAUGAGCUGAUUAAAGCUUGCAGAUGAGUCAAAGGGAGACGUGGCCUAACCUCUGAUCAUGAUCUGGAGGUGAACACCUGUCCAAACC